CCUACGGGACGCAGCAGUGGGGGAUAUUGCACAAUGGGGGGAACCCUGAUGCAGCGACGCCGCGUGGGUGAAGAAGCGCCUCGGCGCGUAAAGCCCUGUCAGCAGGGAAGAAAAUGACGGUACCUGAAGAAGAAGCCCCGGCUAACUACGUGCCAGCAGCCGCGGUAAUACGUAGGGGGCAAGCGCUAUCCGGAUUUACUGGGUGUAAAGGGAGCGUAGACGGCCGUUCAAGCCAGAUGUGAAAGCCCGGGGCUCAACCCCGGGACUGCAUUUGGAACUGUGCGGCUAGAGUGUCGGAGAGGCAG
rnacentral:rRNA from 1 species